rnacentral:lncRNA from 1 species
GCAUACUGGCAUGCACACCCACACACAAAAAAAUGAUCAUUUUGUUGUCUAUUCUUUGAGUUGAGUAUGCACAUAAGAAGUUGGCUAGGCAGAAGUGUCAGUGGCUACACCAGCAACAACAAUAACAUACCCAGUGCAACCCCACAAGUGGUGUCUGGGGAGGGUGGAAUGUACGCAGCCUUACUCCUACCCUUGUGAAGGUAGAGGCUGCUUCGGGUGGUGUGUACGCAGCCUUACUCUUACCUUUGUGAAGGUAGAGGCUGCU